AACGAACGCUGGCGGCAGGCCUAACACAUGCAAGUCGAACGCCGUAGCAAUACGGAGUGGCAGACGGGUGAGUAACGCGUGGGAACAUACCCCUCGGUUCGGAAUAACUCAGGGAAACUUGAGCUAAUACCGGAUACGUCCGAGGCUUUAAUCGGCCUUGGAGAAAGAUUUAUCGCCGGAGGAUUGGCCCGCGUCUGAUUAGCUUGUUGGUGAGGUAAUGGCUCACCAAGGCGACGANCAGUAGCUGGUCUGAGAGGAUGAUCAGCCACAUUGGGACUGAGACACGGCCCAAACUCCUACGGGAGGCAGCAGUGGGGAAUAUUGGACAAUGGGCGAAAGCCUGAUCCAGCCAUGCCGCGUGAGUGAUGAAGGCC
rnacentral:rRNA from 1 species